rnacentral:miRNA from 1 species
UGCCAAAGGAGAGUUUCCCUG